rnacentral:sRNA from 1 species
AGCAGCCGCGGUAAUUCCAGCUCCAAUAGCGUAUAUUAAAGUUGUUGCAGUUAAAAAGCUCGUAGUUGAAUUUCGGGAUCAGUUGGUCGGUCGUGCCUCGGUACGUACUGGUCAAAUUGAUUCCUACCUUCUGACGAACCACGAUGUCAUUAAUUUGGUGUCGCGGGAAAUCAGGACUGUUACUUUGAAAAAUUAGAGUGUUUAAAGCAGGCUCGCGCUUGAAUACAUUAGCAUGGAAUAAUGAAAUAGGACGUUUGAUUCUAUUUUGUUGGUUUCUAGGAUCGACGUAAUGAUUAAUAGGGAUAGUUGGGGGCAUUAGUAUUCAAUUGUCAGAGGUGAAAUUCUUGGAUUUAUUGAAGACUAACUACUGCGAAAGCAUUUGCCAAGGAUGUUUUCAUUAAUCAAGAACGAAAGUUAGGGGAUCGAAGACGAUCAGAUACCGUCGUAGUCUUAACCAUAAACUAUGCCGACUAGGGAUCGGAUGAUGUUAAUUUUUAAUGACUCAUUCGGCGCCUUACGG